rnacentral:rRNA from 1 species
GACGAACGCUGGCGGCGUGCUUAACACAUGCAAGUCGAGCGGUAAGGCCCUUUCGGGGGUACGACGAGCGGCGAACGGGUGAGUAACACGUGGGUGACCUGCCCUCAGCUCUGGGAUAAGCCUGGGAAACCGGGUCUAAUACUGGAUAUGACUCCAUGACGCAUGUUGUGGGGUGGAAAGCCUUGUGCGGCUGAGGAUGGGCCCGCGGCCUAUCAGCUUGUUGGUGGGGUGANGGCCUACCAAGGCGACGACGGGUAGCCGGCCUGAGAGGGCGACCGGCCACACU